UACGUAGGGGGCAAGCGUUGUCCGGAAUCAUUGGGCGUAAAGAGCGCGUAGGCGGUCCGGUAAGUCCGCUCUGAAAGUCCGGGGCUCAACCCCGGGAGGCGGGCGGAUACUGUCGGGCUAGAGUCCGGAAGAGGCGAGUGGAAUUCCCGGUGUAGCGGUGAAAUGCGCAGAUAUCAGGAGGAACACCGAUGGCGAAGGCAGCUCGCUGGGACGGUACUGACGCUGAGGCGCGAAAGCGUGGGUAGCAAACAGG
rnacentral:rRNA from 1 species